rnacentral:rRNA from 1 species
UUGAUCCUGGCUCAGGAUGAACGCCGGCGGUGUGCCUAAUACAUGCAAGUCGUACGCACUGGCCCAACUGAUUGAUGGUGCUUGCACCUGAUUGACGAUGGAUUACCAGUGAGUGGCGGACGGGUGAGUAACACGUAGGUAACCUGCCCCGGAGCGGGGGAUAACAUUUGGAAACAGAUGCUAAUACCGCAUAACAACAAAAGCCACAUGGCUUUUGUUUGAAAGAUGGCUUUGGCUAUCACUCUGGGAUGGACCUGCGGUGCAUUAGCUAGUUGGUAAGGUAACGGCUUACCAAGGCGAUGAUGCAUAGCCGAGUUGAGAGACUGAUCGGCCACAAUGGAACUGAGAGACGGUCCAUACUCCUACGGGAGGCAGCAGUAGGGAAUCUUCCACAAUGGGCGCAAGCCUGAUGGAGCAACACCGCGUGAGUGAAGAAGGGUUUCGGCUCGUAAAGCUCUGUUGUUGGAGAAGAACGUGCGUGAGAGUAACUGUUCACGCAGUGACGGUAUCCAACCAGAAAGUCACGGCUAACUACGUGCCAGCAGCCGCGGUAAUACGUAGGUGGCAAGCGUUAUCCGGAUUUAUUGGGCGUAAAGCGAGCGCAGGCGGUUGCUUAGGUNUGAUGUGAAAGCCUUCGGCCUAACCGAAGAAGUGCAUCGGAAACCGGGCAACUUGAGUGCAGAAGAGGACAGUGGAACUCCAUGUGUAGCGGUGGAAUGCGUAGAUAUAUGGAAGAACACCAGUGGCGAAGGCGGCUGUCUGGUCUGCAACUGACGCUGAGGCUCGAAAGCAUGGGUAGCGAACAGGAUUAGAUACCCUGGUAGUCCAUGCCGUAAACGAUGAGUGCUAGGUGUUGGAAGGGUUUCCGCCCUUCAGUGCCGGAGCUAACGCAUUAAGCACUCCGCCUGGGGAGUACNACCNCAAGGUUGAAACUCAAAGGAAUUGACGGGGGCCCGCACAAGCGGUGGAGCAUGUGGUUUAAUUCGAAGCUACGCGAAGAACCUUACCAGGUCUUGACAUCUUGCGCUAACCUUAGAGAUAAGGCGUUCCCUUCGGGGACGCAAUGACAGGUGGUGCAUGGUCGUCGUCAGCUCGUGUCGUGAGAUGUUGGGUUAAGUCCCGCAACGAGCGCAACCCUUGUUACUAGUUGCCAGCAUUAAGUUGGGCACUCUAGUGAGACUGCCGGUGACAAACCGGAGGAAGGUGGGGACGACGUCAGAUCAUCAUGCCCCUUAUGACCUGGGCUACACACGUGCUACAAUGGACGGUACAACGAGUCGCAAACUCGCGAGAGUAAGCUAAUCUCUUAAAGCCGUUCUCAGUUCGGACUGUAGGCUGCAACUCGCCUACACGAAGUCGGAAUCGCUAGUAAUCGCGGAUCAGCAUGCCGCGGUGAAUACGUUCCCGGGCCUUGUACACACCGCCCGUCACACCAUGGGAGUUUGUAACGCCCAAAGUCGGUGGCCUAACCUUUAUGGAGGGAGCCGCCUAAGGCGGGACAGAUGACUGGGGUGAAGUCGUAACAAGGUA